UCCGGCGUAGCUCAGUGGUAGAGCAAGCGGCUGUUAACCGCUAGGUCGUUGGUUCGAGUCCAACCGCCGGAGCCA
rnacentral:tRNA from 1 species